rnacentral:rRNA from 1 species
GCGCGUAGGUGGUUCUGUAUGUCUACCGUGAAAGCGUACGGCUCAACCGUAUUUUGUCGGUGGAAACUGCAGGACUUGAGGCUGGGAGGGGCUGGUGGAAUUCCCUGUGUAGCGGUGAAAUGCGUAGAGAUGGGGGAGAACACUCGUGGCGAAGGCGGCCAGCUAGACCAGUUCUGACACUGAGGCGCGACAGCGUGGGGAGCAAACAGGAUUAGAUACCCUGGUAGUCCACGCUGUAAACGAUGGGCACUAGGUGCCGGCGGUCUUGAUCCCGUCGGUGCCGGCGCUAACGCAGUAAGUGCCCCGCCUGGGGAGUACGGUCGCAGGGCUGAAACUCAAAGGAAUUGACGGGGGCCCGCACAAGCGGUGGAGCAUGUGGUUUAAUUCGACGCAACGCGAAGAACCUUACCUGGGUUUGACAUGUGCAGGAUCAGUGAUGAAAAGUCACUCUCCCUU